rnacentral:tRNA from 1 species
AAGAAUGUGGCAGAGUGGCAAUGUGGCUGGCUUGAAAUCAGUUCAUGGGGGUUCAAUUCCUUCCUUUCUCG